rnacentral:rRNA from 1 species
UACAGAGGGUGCGAGCGUUGUUCGGAAUUAUUGGGCGUAAAGGGCGCGUAGGCGGUGCCACAAGUCACCUGUGAAAUCCCCGGGCUUAUCUCGGGGCCUGCAGGCGAAACUGUGGUGCUGGAGUAUGGGAGAGGUGCGUGGAAUUCCCGGUGUAGCGGUGAAAUGCGUAGAUAUCCGGAAGAACACCCAUGGCGAAGGCACGUUUCUGGCUGGUUUCUGACGCUGAGGUGCGAAAGCUAGGGGAGCGAACGGG